GCUUACAGCCAUACGACCCUGAAUGCGCCCGAUCUCGUCUGAUCUCGGAAGCUAAGCAGGGUCAGGCCUGGUUAGUACUUGGAUGGGAGACCUCCUGGGAAUACCAGGUCCUGUAUGCU
rnacentral:rRNA from 1 species